rnacentral:tRNA from 1 species
GUUUUAAUAAUUUAAAUAAUAAAAUAUUGAUUUUGUAAAUCAAACUUAAGGAAUAAUCCUUUUAAAACU